CACAAGUUCGGUAGUUAUAUCUUCUCCUCUUCUUAGUUCUUCGUCGUCAAUAAAGGCGUUGAUUCCGGCCUUUGUCAAUGCUUCGUGGAGGUGGCCCGUGAAGUUUUUACGUGUGUCUUCGCCUCUGAAGCUUAUGAACACUUCGUAAAGCGAGCCUUUUGAGGAGGACGAUGACGAGGAGGCAGAGGAGAACGAUGAGGAUGAGGAUGAGGGCAAGGAGGUGGAGGAGGCAGAGGAGGAAGAUGAGGAUGAGGGUGAGGGCGAGGAGGCGGAGAAGGACGAUGAGGAUGAGGGCAAGGAGGAGGACGAGGACGAGGCUUUAUCGGGGAUGGAGAUAUUCAUUUGGCGAAAGACGAGGCCGAGGGAGCAGAGGAGGAAGAUGAGGACAUCAAAGACAAGACUGGAAUUGCGAGCCACAAAGUGGUAGGGCACUAACACCAGCACCAGAGUUAACAACUUCCCUAAGCUCAACCAAGAUAUAUCGCGGAAUAUCUCCCUCUCGUAGUCAUCAUUCAACCCUUUGUAACUUAUUUUCAGCUGUUCCUGAAUGUUAUCAAGAGGAAUUUCUUUCAAUUUAUCCAAUGUACUUUUCCAAUCUCCUAUGCUUCGGUUGAACAGGUUAGAACCUAAAACUUGAAGAGCCAAUGGCACUCCUCCACAGUAAUUGACAACUUCUCUUGCAAGCUCAAGAUAUUGACUAGGACAACAACUACUUCUGAAAGCAUGCCAAUUUAGGAGCUCAAGAGCUUCUUCUCGUUUCAUUUCUAUCGCCGGAUAUACCAUAUCAACUGCAAAUUCUUUUAACACAUGUUCGUUUCUUGUUGUGAUGAUAAUUCUGCUCCCCGAGCCAAAAGAAUGGCGAUUUCUAACUAAUUCCUGUAGCUGCUUCACAUCGUCUACAUCAUCAAAUAUGAAAAGUACCUUUAAGCGUCGAAAUCUUUCCCCUACCAAGGCGGUCCCUGCAGCAACACUGCUUACUUUUGUCUUGGUGGUUUGCAAGAUAUCAAAAAGAAGUUGUUUUUGCAAUUUUUCUAGUUUCUUUUCCCUCACUUUUUCAAGGAAACUUUUACCUCGAAACUUGUCAGAAAAUUGAUUAUAAAUGGCUUUAGCAAGCGUUGUUUUACCUAUUCCACCCAUGCCCAAAAUUCCAAUCACCCGAACAUCAUCUGAAUCUCCGAUGCAUAAAUAAUUACUAAUAUCUUGCACUCGAGAAUCUAUUCCGACUUGGUAGGGCGCUACGUCUAAGUAUGUGUUGUUCAGCUUCCUAGUGACUUCCUCAGUAAUCAUCCUGAUAAACUUGGCUUCAUGCCUGGCAUUAGUCAAGUUGAGAAGCAAAACGAAGAUUAUUAUACAACUACAAGACGAAAUUGAACUAAUACACAAAAUUACUUAUUAUGACUAGAGAUUUUAUUUAAGACAAUCUUCUUUGAGGUGUUGUGUUUAAACUUAGCAAACAUCAAUUAAAAAUUCAAAUUAGAAACACAAACAAACAAAACCAGCAUCUCUUCCCUCUGCAGCCAUUCGACGGCGGCUCUCCUGCUGUGUUAGUGUAAGCUUAACAGUUGAAGCUUUAUUGUAUGAUUUUAUUAAAAGAGGUUUAAGAAAUCUCAUGCUUCCAAAUUAAUAAGAAAAGGCACGUUAAAGCCUAAAUUCAUAAGAGAAGAAAUUAGUAAGUACCCGCCCAAAGUGUUUUGGAGAUCCCAGCCAGACAAAUUCGAAGCUUCAGUAAGAGCAGUUCUCCACCUCUCUUCCUUCCAUCUCGCUACCUUCUUUUCAUCUAUAUGUUUCAGAAACAAUUGUCCAAAACUGUCAAUCUGCUUCCUGACAUGCGAAGGAUCAAUGUCAUAGAAUGCCGGCAAAACUAAUUGCCCCAGCGUUCUUCUACACUCCAUGAUCUUAACCAGCUCCUCGAGGCACCAGCUGGAGUUCGCAUAUUGUCUAGAGAAGACGAUGAUAGAGAUCUUGGAACCUUGGAUUGCCCGCUCAAAUGCGGUUGUUAAUUCUUCUCCCCUUUUUAGUUCUUCGUCGUCAAUAAAAGCAUUGAUUCCAGCCUUUGUUAAUGCUUCAUAGAGGUGGCCCGUGAAGUUUUUACGUGUGUCUUCGCCUCUGAAGCUUAUGAACACGUCGUAGAGCGAACCUUUUGAGAAGGAGGACGAGGACAAGGAGGCGGAGGUGGACGAUGAGGAUGAGGAUCCGGGUGAGGAGGAGGAGGACGACGAGGCUUUAUUGGGGACUGAGGCAUUCACUUGGUGAAAGACGAGGCCGAGGGAGCAGAGGAGGAAGAUGAGGACAUCAAAGACAAGACCGGAAUUGCGAGCCGCAAAGUGGUAGGACACCAACACCAGCACCAAAGUUAACAGCUUCCCUAAGCUCGACCAGGUAUCCAUUUCCUUCAUUUUCUUUAGGCAAAUUGAAGGUUUUUGGAGAGGAUCCUCUCCGGACCCAAACCCACCGGAGCCUCCGGAUCUUCCUCCUUCUUCCUUCUUCUCUGCAGAUUUCCUUCUUCCUUCUUCUCUGCAGAUUUGGUUCUGCUUCUUCUUCAAUUCUUCUUCUUCAAUUAUGCAUCUUCUUCUUCACUUCCUUCUUCCUUCUUUGUUUGUGUAUCGGAAAACUUUCUUCUUCAAUUAUGCAUCUUCUGCAUCUUCUCCGACAACCAGCUCCGAGGAAGUCACGACGCCGGCUUCGGGAAAGCACGACGCCGGCUCCGGGAAAGCCCAAGAUGCCGACGAAGACGGAUCCGGAUGCUCCGGUGGGUUUGGGUCCGGAGAGGAUCCUCUCCCAAGGUUUUUGGCGAUAUUGAUUUUCUUUCCGUUCUGCCGGAACUACUUUCUUCUUCUUAUGAUUAAUAAACCCGUCAGCCCAUGAGGCUGGGCCCCAUUUCCCUCAGCCUUUUCCUUUUUCCUUUACUUUUUUCUUCUUUUUUGGCGAUUUUCCUUCACUUUUGGUCAAUCAUGUGCGUUUUCAUUGGACGGAGGACUAUGCAUGUUGGGUGAUCGCCAAACGGCUGGAAAAAAUUUAUAACCAAGCGGACAUUUUUUUUUUCUCUGAUGUUCAACUGCAAGCAGAAAUUCUGUUAGUUUAAAGGAUUUAAGGAUUAAGUGCAUUUUUUAAAGAGGAUUAGCUUGGAAGGGAUAACUAAGCAUAUUUAAAAGAUGAGUUAAAAUGUCCACAUCAGCAAUAACAGUAAAAAAAUACAGCAUUAGUGUCAGCAACUUCAAUUUUUUUUUAACAAACGAUAUUAUCAGGAAUGUCUCACAAUAAGCUAAUAAUAAUGUGGUUCAAACUUUUAUUCUUACUUUUUGUUCUAAAUACUUAUUAAAAUCAUGAAAAAUAAAUAAUAUAAUAAAAAGUGGUUUAAAUUUGACAUAUCAGAUGAAGAAUAAAAUUUUAAAAAAAAAUCAAAGUGCCACAUAAGCUUUCAAAUUUAAAAUCUACUUUGGAAAUGAACAAAUCAGUUGUUUUUUUUAUGGAUUUCUUUAUAGAUAAUGUUGGCGGUAUUAGAAAAUUUUAUUAACAUGAAAAAAAAUAUACUUAAUCAAUGGACAUAAACCUUAACCCUUAAUUUGGUCCAAGAUAUUAUUAGAGAAUUCCCACUUGAUUUGGUCCCAUAUAAUUUUAUUUUCCCUGCUAGCAAGAUUAUGAAUUCCAACUAUCUUUAGUUUUGUUGGAAUAAUUUCCCUAGCCAUAAUACAAAAUUAAGAAUACCAACUUUGCUUUUGUUUUUUUCGGCUAAAACAAUAAAAAAUAAAUAAAAAAAUCAAGAUCAAAGAAAAUGAUAGGAAAGAGCAACAGUGACACACCCCGUCCCGAAGGAGGGCAUGCUGGCCGUCACGUGAGAGUGACGUAACCAUUUGCACAGUACGGAAGCUUUAAUUAUACAAUUUAUAAGUUGAUACACCCGAAGGUGAGUCCUAAUUUUGUCCAAUCUGUCAGAACCCCGCUGUAUUCCUCGUAGUCACCACACCUUUGUGAUUCCUGAACCUGGAGGGGCGCAAAACCAAAAUUGAGUGGGUCAGUAAAACAAUUCUUUUCCAAAUCCAAACAUUUCUCAAAACGUUGUAACCCCUCUCCGUAAAACCUGUAUACUUUCCCAGAAAUGUAAAAUAUAAAUAUACAUAUAUAUUCUCAAAACUUCAUUUUUACUAUCUCAACAUUAUCUCUUUAUCAAUCAUGCCAUGCCAUGUCAUCUCAACAUUUCUCAUAUUAAUUAUGCCAUGCCACAUCAUCUCAACAGUAAUAAGGUAUGAAUGCAUCAACAUAAUCAUAUCAGGUGCAAGAAAGUAAUCAACCGUAGGCCCUCUAAUAGCCCUAUACGGUUGAACCUAGAGCUCAAAAUCUAUCAUUAUCACUCUACCGGAGUCACCUCUGUGACCCGUCCGGCCUUCUGCACACAAGUUACGCUCUAGUGCUUCUCAUAAAUCAUCUGUGCACAUAAUCUAAGGUCACCCACCAGUCGGAAUCUCACUAACACUCUCGCGACUGGUCUGUCGUACCCACUCCGCGUGGACUGUACGACUAGCAUCUACUUGGAUCCAAGGCGAGCGUGCGAUGCGGUGAAUACUAUAAGCACUAAACCAUGGUGCAGGAUUUGAGCUCAAUAUAUAUCAUCAUCAUCAUAACAGUAAUUAAAUACUCAUCUGUGCGUCCACCGCACCAUUUCAUACAUAUGCAUCAUAAAUCAAUUCUUACAUGUGCGUCCACCGCACCAAUUCAUACAUAUGCAUCAUAAAUCAAUUCUUACCUGUGCGUCCACCGCACCAAUUCAUACAUAUGCAUCAUAUAUUAAUUCAUGCAUGGCAUUUCAACUCACAUUUUUUAUAUUACUUUUCAUAUCAAUUCUAUGCAUGGUAUUUCACUUCCCGUUUUUCCACAUAACUCAUAUGCAUUUCAUUUUAAACAUAAUUUCAUGCAUUUUCAAUUUCUGGGAAAACGUUAAGUAUAUAUAUAUAUACGGAAAACAAAACUGCCCACUCACCUGGAGUUCGUUCCAACAACUCCCUAGCACCACACAUCAAAGGCGUCACGACGAUCGCCGCCUAGAAAUAGUAAUCAAAUCCAACCUCAGAAUUCAUAUCGAUAGAAUAUAUAUAACUUAUAUAAAUACGUCACUACGUAGUUCGAUCCGGAAGAUCUGCCACUCAGAUUUUAAAAUCCAUAACUUCCAGAGGUCCACAAUAUAUCUCUAGGAUAACAUCCUAAAAUUUCAUUACCAUCCAACGGUCGGAUCUCCGUCAAUUUCCAAAAACUAAGUGACGGUUAACAUUUUAUAUUAUGGACUUACAAUUCCAAUUCCGGAAGAUCCGUAACUCGGAUUUCCCAAUCCGUAAGUUCCAAUAAUCCUCAAAUAUUACGUAUUACAACGUAUCAAAGUUUGGUGACGAUCCAACGGUCGGAUCAUCAAUUCACAUUUUCACCUAAAUGUGAAAACUAUAAAACGUUAUUUGAACACCUAACCAACAAUCCUCAAUAACUUUCUCAUACGGUGUUCAAUUUAGGUAUAUGAAUAUACCACAGUGAUCUACUCGACGUCACGGACGUCGACAUAUUUUUAAAAUAAUUUUAUUUUUAUUUUAUUUUUAUUUUUACUGUAGCACCUUCUUCCUCCUUGGGUCGCCGGACUGGUUUUUCCGGCGGCCGUUUUCCGGGCAGUUUUUCAAAUUGCCAUAACUUUGUCAUUUCUCAACGAAAUCAAGUGAUUCAAAAACAAAAGUUGUAGCCCUUGAAGAGACAAAGAGAAUGGUACCUUGCACAACACCUAUUUCGCCGUGGUUUGGCCGGAAACUGCCUCGAAAGCCUCGGAGGUCGCCGGAAACUGGGUAUUUUUCAAAUGAGUAUAACUUCUUCAAUACUCAACGAAAUUGAGUGAAACAAAAAGGAAAGGUGUAGUAAUUGACGAGACGAAGAGAUUGAUACCUACUUCGACUCCUAACUCGCCGGGGAUUCGCCGGAAAACGCCUCGAAAGCUCCGGCCAAACUUUGAACUUGUCGAUCUCCGUGUUCUUACGUCCAAAAACUUCCAACGAAAGCACUCCGAGCUUCCUUGGGACCUCACUAAGCUUGCUAUGAUCUUAUUUUGGCCUAAAACACAACCACUUCAAAGAUCAUGAACAGUACACAUUCACGGGGUCUUUAGAACUAGGGUUUUUCGAAAUGAAACUUACCUGAAAAUGGUACCUACGUGAUCGUGAAGUCCUCAGGGUUGCAAUGGUAGUCUUAACUUGGACGUUGGUAUAGGUUUUAGGUGGUUUUGGUGGUUGCCCGUGCGUUCGAGAAGAAGAGAGAGAAUGAGAGUUUCUGAGGAAGAGAGAGAGUAUGAAGGACAGUAUACGGGAAAUGGGGAGGGUUUUGAGGUGUGGGGAUCUCACAUGUCCAAACCAAUCCCAAUUUCAUAAAAUUCCAUCAUAAAAUUUAAGUCUAAGUCUCCACUCCAAUUACCAAAUUUUUUUGGAGCUUAGAUAUAACGAACGUGAAAAUUAUACCUUAGUCACGUAUUAGGGACAUUUCCGUAAUUUCAUGUCCUCGGAAUUAAAAAUUCCGGCACGGGCUGUGACAAACAGCUUGCAUAUGUAUAGUUUAUAUGACAGUGAAUCAUAUGCUUUUGCUUAUAUCUUUAUUUUAUUUUUAUGAGUUCGUGUUUGUACCAAGAUAGCUGUCAAUUUAAGAUUAGUAUUGAAUGGCUCUAUAAUAAACAGCCCAACUUUCCAAGAUCCGGAAUCAAGUGGGUCUAAAGAAUUGCAUAGCUUGGGUUAUCAUCUUGAGGACCCAUAUCAUCUGGAUCAGACCAAGGCCAACGCCCACCGUACAUAUUGAGCCUAUGCCACUUUUCGGCUGGAGAAUGGAGUUCAAACACUUGGAUUAACAAACCACCAACAUCUGCACAUAUAGGCCGGGGCAUAUUUUGUAUAGCCCAUCGAAAAAAAAGAGAUUGUAACUAUAUGAGAUUUCAGGUUGUGAUUAACACUAACAAAUUAACUAAAACGAAUGUGUAGAAUUUUAAGCAACCAGUUAACAAGAAAGUUAAUCCUCUGACUGAAUAAAGUUGCAGGCAUUGAGUUUAGCAGCAUUAUUAACAAGGAAGAGCAUAAACCAUGCAACUCCAUCAUCAUGCAUGAGUGGUAUUUUUGGAAAUACAAACAUACCUGCAUAUGAGGGUCCUAAUUGUCAUGAAAAUCUAUAAGCAUCUUAAAAAAAAAAAAAAAAAUUCUCACUCAUAUAUCUGUUUCAAAUUUAUAUAGACAAUAAUCAAAGGGCUCAAUUACUAGUGCACCUUUGAAAGUGUGAAAAAAAUCUCAUCCUGCCUCUUGAAACUUAUUUUGAUCCAAUUUACUUACUUUUUAAAAUAUGUAAAUGUGUCUCAUUUUAUCGUAUAUUGUUGGUUUCAGUAAGUUUUUCUUCAAUGUCGGCUCACGUUAACGUGUCAUCCAUGUGUCAAAAGAUAGAGUACCUUUUUGUCUUUUCCGGUUCUCCAACUCAAUACAAGUCAGUUCUUCUCCUUCACUUCUUUAGCUCAUUUCACUCUCCCUUUCUAUCUCUCACUGAUUUCUAUCUCUUGGUCUUUUUGACUUUUGGCUAAAUAAUGUUUAAAAAGUAUGAGUUUUCACCUUUUUUAUAAUUUGUGAUUCUCUUGUCCACAUGUCAGUGAGAGAGUUAUGUUUAACUCAUAUAAAUGACAAGUUUGAUAUUCAGUUAUUACUUUCUUAUUGCGUGUCUUUAACCGCAAAUUCAUAUCUCAAUAAAGCGUGCAACAAAUCAAGUCUUACUGUAGUAUUUGAGAAACAUUAUAUGUUAAAAUUACAAAGCAAUCUUUUGUAUAAAUUAAGAUAAAAUAUUGUUCAGAUUAUCGAAUCACAUGCAUAAUUUCCCAGUGAUUCAUAUAAAACCUCAGCAAAGCCUUCUAUAAAUAACACUUCGUCUCUGGCAAUCUUCACACAAGCAUUAGCAAUCAAACGUGCUUUUCAAGGAAGGUAAUGAUAAGCUAAUUAACCUUGUUCGGCGACUGUUCUUGAACGAAAUGCGAUCUUUAGGACAUGAAUUGAAUCUCCAAAUUGGGGACAAACUUUUCACCCUCCCAAUGUCGAUGUAGUAAUCUAUCCCUGGAAAUUUGUUUACAUAAUCCUUGCCUCCCAUUAUAUAAAGUGACGGAACUUUAACAAUUAGAUUCGUCAAGCCGAAUUCUUCUCUAAGUGCCCUACCAAUACAUAACGUAAAGUUCAAGAAAUCAUUAACAUGUACUUACCACUUGAAUCCAAGUUAGCAGGGUUAAACUAAUUUCAAAUGAUAAGUCUGAUGAUUCGAUAAUAAUGUUUUUUUCAUUAACUCUUCUAGUAUGCGGAAGUAGUAGUGAUUCGAAGAUCAAAUGCGUUACCUAUACGGAAUGUGCAGUGCAGUUUGGAAGCCCGAUUUCUCAUACAGAGCUCCAUAUGCAGCAAGAUCUUCCUUGGUGAACCAAGGGGGAAGAGGGUCAAAUGGAUCCACCAAGUCCAUGAUCUCCUGGUUUUCUACAGCUAUUGGUAUUUUGCUUCUGGAGAAAAGGAUGUAAAUGUUCCAAACAACUGUUUUCGCAUCAAAGCGCCUGAAAUCAGCCUCUGCCCGGCCAGGUUCCUAUAGUAGUGGUAACAGUAAGUUGUAACUUGUAAGCAAGCUAGUCAUGGCAUAGAUAUGGACAACAAGACCAAGAAAAUACACACCUGCCAUCUUGAAAUGUAUAAGCCCUCAGGGAGCUUUUUAACGAAUUUUAGAAGGCCUAGUGGCACGAUUGGCACUCCGAUUGUUAUAACUCCCAAGACCCUAUCUAGGUACGCAAGGGCAAAUAAGUACGUUGGCCGACCUCCAAAAUUCUUUUCCCACGAGGAAAACCUACGUAAAAUUUAUGAUCAAACGUGUUACAUUGCAAUUCUCUUAAGCUUUUACUGCAUAAUAUGAUUAGCACAUAAGGAAAUAUAAGUGUUAUAAUCCUUCAAACAAUAAGCUUUUCAUUUGCCGGAUAAACAACAAAGCAAAUAAAUGCACGUUGUAGUGAUUUUACACUCUCAUUCUCCUACUACACUCUCCUGUUUUUUGUAUCCUUGAACUCUUCUUUGAUUUAUUCAAUCCAUUAUGAACAAAUGCGCGCAAAAAAUGGGAGUUUGGAAAUCACAAAUGUCAUCUUUACAACAAAUUGCUUUUUCAAUCAAACUUGUAAUAACAACCAAACAAUGAUUAAUGAAAAAAAGAACCAACUUUCAAAUUUGAAGCUCAUUUUCUAGCCAAAAUUUAAAAAAAAAAAGGCCAAAAAUUAAAAACAAAAAAGUGUAUCUGAAAAUUUUGUACCUUAGGAAUAGCAAGGGAAUCGAUAAUUCCAAAGACGCCACUGAUGAGGUCGCGGUAGGAGGCUUUGUCUGGUUGGGAAGGCGGGUCGGAGAGUUCGUGUCCGCGAUAGUCGGGAGCAAUGGCUCGGAAGCUGGAGUGGGCGAGACCAAUCAUUUGGUGCCGCCACGAGUACCAAAUUUCAGGGAAAUCAUGUUGUUUCCAUGCAGUUUCUCAAAAACCUAAAAAAAAAUCAGCGAGUCGACUCAGCGAGUUCACUAACUUUCCUAAAAUAGGCAAAACUGUUUCAAAUUGUGCAAGCUCUUUAAAUUCAGCGGCUUUUCAUGCUUUUGUCUGCCGCAAUUGGAUUAUCCAGAGAGAUUUGACUGCCGAAGCCCUCAGAUUUUUUCAGGUGAUUGAUUUAUUCUUCUUGUAGUUGCCCUUUGUUUGUUCGAAUACCACAAAUUUGACUACUUUCUUUGUAUUUCUUGCUGAGAUUUUUUGUUUUUUUUGGUUGGUUUUAAGAAUUAAAAUCGGUUAAUACUAAAUACCAUUUUGGGUUUUGAGCGAGAUCUGUUGUAAUGUGCAGAGAUUAAGAAUUAAUAUUGUCUGAAAUUCAGAAAUUGUAAUUCUGGGAUUUGGUUGUUUGAGCUAGAAAUUUUGGGAAUUUGAGCAAUGGGUGUUCAAUACAGUCCUAGGGUUUGAAAGGGGAUAUUGGUUUCAAGAAGGUUUUCGACACGUUACCAAUGUCUUGGGGUUAGUUUUGAGCUGGAAAUUUUGAUAAUUAAAGAAGUGGGUGUUCCAUGUACAAUCUUAGGGUUGAAAGGAGGUUUUUUUUGGGGGAAAUUUUUUCGAUUUGUUGCCAUUGUGUGAGUCGGUUUUGAGCUGGGAAUUUAGGGAGUUUAAGCAAUGGGUGUUCCAUAUACAGUGUUAGGGUUAAAAGGAGAUGUUGUUUUCGAGGAAUGACUUAGAUGGGUUCAUAGAGGAUGAAGUUGAGCACCUGAUAUAUCUUGUGUUUCUUCAGUGUGAAAUUGUGAAUUAUUAGCCGUCAUCAAAAUUGUUAGUAGCAGAUUAGAAUUUUUAGGUUUCAAAAUUUUUGUUACAAACUAAUGUGUUCACUAUCAAGUUGAAGUAGUUUUGAACCAACAGAUGGUAAUAAUAUGUUGAUGAUUUUAUCUUCUUUUCGAAUGCUGACAUUAUGAGUUAUUCAGGAAUGCGAGUAAAACACCAAAACAUACCACAAGGGACAUGGGAUAAUGGCAGAAUUAGAAAAUUUGCUCUUGGAGGCCGCGGGAAGAACAAGUUCAUCGGGGAAAAACCGACACUCACAUUCAUCAGCUAGGAGGAGACAUGGAGGUUCAUAUUCUGAUGGAGGAAGUGACUCCAGAGGUGAUGAUUUUGACGAUGGUUGUGGCUAUGCAAGCGGGAAGCCCUCUGGACCUCAAGUUCACUUGAAGAAGAGGCUGGACCCAACAGAAAUAGACGAUGAACAGGGUAGCCAGGAAGAAUGUGGUUAUAACGAUAGUGGUUCGGAUCGUGGGGGGGACAACAAUGAAUUUGAUGUUGGCAGUGAUCUUUUCAAGGAUGAAGAUGAUAGGCGGAAGCUUGCAGAGAUGUCUGAACUUCAAAGAGCUAAUUUUGUCUGAAAGAGCACAGAAGAAAGAUGACAAGAGCUUAAAGGAGAAGUUCCGACCAAAGUGGGAUAAAGGGAAGACCCUACAGUCCCGGAAAGAGACUCCACCUCUUCCAUCCUCUCGGGUGCGUUCAUCAGCUAGAUCUGCUGACAGGGCAGCUGCCAAGGAUGAUGCAUUGAAUGAGUUACGAGCAAAACGUUUGAAGCAGCAGGACCCCUGAGGCUCACCACAAGUUGAAAGAUGCUUCUAGAGGAGGAAGUUCAAGCAGUCGAAGUUUCUAAAGCAUAAUUUUGAGCUGCCAAUAUCAUUGGUUGCUCUUCAGAAGUUUGGCAGGCCAUAGGGUGCUCAGAAAGGGUUCCUGGAGAAGACGGGAUGAGGCAUGCGCUGACGCUUACAGUUGGCGACUACAUGAGAAAAUUAGGGCUUCUCUAAACAUAUUAUAACCUUAAAUGCGUUAAAAAGUUGAAUUAAAUCACCACAGAAACAAGAAAGUUCAAACAAAGAGAACAUAUUACAAACAGAUCAAGGCACGCAAAAAAAUACAGACUCUAUCUACAAACUAGCUGAUAAAACCAGAAAGUUUACUAGCUUACACAGUCGUCGUCGUCGUCAUCAUCCUCAUCAUUAGCAUCACCGUCUUGGUCCUCCUCAUCAAAAUCCUCAUUGUCGUUGUCAUCAUCCUCAUCAAAAUCAUCUUCAUAUUCAUCAUCAAAAUCAUCAACUUCAGUAAAAGCUUCUUCUAUGGCCCGUUCGUAAGGGAUAGAAUGGUAAAGAAAUAACGAACCUUCGAAAGUCAUAAGUUUGUCGCAUACUAAACGUACCCCUAUUUUCUUCACCACGGUAGUUGGACAAUGUACAAUAACAUGAACCAAAUCGCCUUCUUCCAAAUUGAACUCAGUUUCCGACAACGAAAAAUUUCCAAGGCAAAGGAUUUCUUGAAAGGAAAAAACAUGUCCUAUACAGACAUAAAAACUAGUACCCUUGGUGUGAUUAAUAACAUAAAUAAAAGACGCCCGCUCAAAAUCAAUCGAGCUAACGUCAUCAUAAGGAACCAAAGCCAGGCACACAGCUAACGUUUUUGCAUUACAACCAAUUUCAUUAGGCACUUCAAAAGAGACUUGGGUACCUUCGUUGACAUAAUUGAACCAAGUGGGAAUUUGUCUUCCUACAAGAUUCAUAUAUCCACUUCCUGUCCAUCCCUAUACCAUGUUGAACAAGAUUUGUGUGAGUAAUACAUACAUAACAAAUAACACACAUAUUUGCGAGGGAGGGAGGAGGGGGGUGGUGGUGUGGAAGAGAGAGAGAGUACCUGUAGCGUGUUAUCCUUAAGAAGGAAAUCUAUGACAUUGUUGUGUGUGAACAUAUGAAGUUUGAGGCCCGAGUUUAACGCGCUAUCCAAGCCUGGAAACUCAAUGAGUUUGGGGGAACCAAGAGACACGGAUGUCGACAUGCCUGAAAAAUCUGGCAUUCUUUCUAAUGCAGAGCAGUCGUCCAUCUCCAGGAUAUCCAAACUUUUUGGUAAAUCUGUGAUCUCGACAAGGUUUCUGCAGCCAUUCAAUUUUAGUGCAUGAAGCAUGGAGAGGUCACUGAGGCUUGGAAGGCUCCGAAAAUUAUUGUUAUCUAGAAAUAAGUACACUAAACAAGGUAGACUACUCCCAACAUCAUUAGGCACUUCCAUUAAAUUGCUGUCUACCAAUUGUAAAUCUGUUAAAAAGUGUAAGCCUCGUAAGGAAGGUAGCUGCAAAGGACACUUCAAGUAACUCAAAGAUAAGCAAUCGAGCUUCUCCAGUCAUACGAUGGAAGCUGGUACUUUUUUUAUGGCCGUCCCAUCAGCAAAAAGAGUGACCAAUGAUGCCAUUUCCCCAAGUGCUCGGACAAGCUUCGGAAUCCUGAACAACCAUUGAGAACAAGAGUUUUGACAGAUUUCGACUUGUAGAAACUCCUCGGGAGAGCCUUAAGCGUUUCACAGUCUUUCAAAUUCACCAACACAAGACUCUUGAGAUCUCCGAUGGACUUGUGAACUUUAGCCAACCUCUUACAAUCUUUGAGUAUCAAUUUCUCAAGAUUUGGGAAUUUCGAAAAGUCUGGCGAUUGUGUUAGAUCGUGGGAGUGGCUGAGAUUCAAAAUCUUCAACUUACCAAGCAACUGUUAAGAAAAAUCAAAUUUAAAUAAAAAAUUUAAAUCCAAAAAAAAGAUACAGAGAGCAUAAAAAUAAUUCCGAACUUGGUUCAGGUCACACAUUGUACUUACCCCAGAAUACUCACAAAGAACUUGUUUGAGGCUGCUGUACUGCAUGUCGAUAGCGACUAUGUUUGGUUGACACAGUUCUAUUGGUAUGAUCUCCAAUGGGAAUCCAUGCCAGCACAGCCAUCUUAAUUUUUUGGAAAGACAUUGGUAUCCCCUAGCAAGCCGAACAUAGUUCAGUUGGAGCAAUCUCAGUCUCUUCAUAUUUCUAAACGCCUCAGUACUGAAACUAGUCUCUACAAGACUCGGCAAAUUCAAAGCAAGACCUUCAAUUUUUUCAGUUCCCUGCUAUCAUAAAAAACAAACUCCAAAUAAGAGAAGGCUUUGCAUGAAAAAAAGUUAGAUUACUAACUUACAUAUGCUUACAUGUUUAAUAUAAAGUUCAAUUGGGAAAGUACUUACAGAUUUGUCUAUCAAUACAUCAUUUACAUCUUCAGAACGCCACAAUCUACUCCGUCCUCCAGGGAAAUCGGGAUUUUCUGCAUGCACAAUAUCUCUGCCCAUAUCCCGAAGCAAAUCAUGCAUCAUAAUCUUGUUUUUUCUACCAAUAGUUACAAGGCACCGGUCAAGGAGGACCUCGAUUCCUGUAGUUGCAUAAAAGCCACAACCAUCCAAGAUUUGUAUGACAUAGUUCUUGUCCAUUCCGAUAAAAAAAAAAGCUAUAUCGAGGAACAUCCGCCUCUUGUAAUUAUCAUUUAGCCCGUCGUAGCUUAUUUUGAGUUGUGCCUGAAUUUCUCCAUGAGGAAUCAUUUUCAAUUCAUCCAAUAUACUUCUCCAUUCAUCUACACUUCGUUUGAAAAGAGUAGAUCCUAAAACUUCAAGAGCCAGCGGCAGUCUUCCACAGUAAUUGACAACUUCGCUUGCGAGCACAAGAUAUUGACUAGGACAACAACUACUUCUGAAAGCAUGCCAACUUAGGAGCUCAAGAGCCUCUUCUCGGCCCAUUCCUUCUGCCUGAUAUAUCUUAUCAACUCCAAAUUCUUUUAGCACACGUUCAUUUCUAGUUGUGAUGAUGAUUCUGCUCCCCGGGCCAAAAGAGUGGCAAUUUCCAGCUAAUUCGCGUAGCUGCUUCACAUUGUCUACAUCAUCAACUAUGACAAGUACCUUUAAGCGUCGAAAUCUUUCCCCUACCAGGGCAGUCCCUGCAGCAACAUUGCUUACUUUUGUCUUGGUGGUUUGCAAGAUAUCAGAAAGAAGUUGUUUUUGCAAUUUUUCAAGUUUCUUUUCCCUCACUUUUUCAAGGAAACUUUUACCUUGAAACCUGUCAGAAAAUCGAUUAUAAACGGCUUUAGCAAGCGUUGUUUUACCUAUUCCACCCAUGCCCAAAAUUCCAAUCACCCGAACAUCAUCUGAAUCUCCGAUGCAUAAAUAAUUACUGAUAUUUUGCACUCGAGAAUCUAUUCCGACUUGGUAGGGUGCUACGUCUAAGUAUGUGUUGUUCAGCUUUCUAGUGACUUCCUCAGUAAUCCUCCUGAUAAACUUUGCUUCAUGCCUGACAUUGGUCAAGUUGAGAAGCAAAACGAAGAUUGUUAUACAACUACAAGACGAAAUUGAACUAAUACACAAAAUUACUUUUCACGACGAGAGAUUUUAUUUAAGACAAUUUUCUUUGAGGUGUUGUGUUUAAACUUAGCAAACAUCAAUUAAAAAUUCAAAAUAGAAACACAAGCAAACAAAACCAGUAUCCCUUCCCUCUGCAGCCAUUCGCCGGCGGCUCCCCUGCUAUGAUUAGUGUAAGCUUAACAGUUGAAGCUUUAUUGUAUGAUUUUAUUAAAAGAGGUCUAAGAAAUCGCAUGCUUCCAAAUUAAUAAGCAAAGGAACGUUAAAGCCUAAAUUCAUAAGAGAAGAAAUUAGUAAGUACCCGUCUUGGAGAUCCCAGCCAGACAAAUUCGAAGCUUUAGUAAGAGCAGUUCUCCACCUCUCUACCUUACAACUCUCUACCUUCUUUUCAUCUAUAUGGUCCCGAAACGAUUGUCCAAAACAGUCAGUCUGUUUCCUGACAUGCGAAGGAUCAAUGUCAUAGAAUAUUCGACAAAACUAACUGCCCCAGCGUUCUUCUACACUCCAUGAUCUUUACCAGCUCCUCGAGGCACCAGCUGGAGUUCGCAUACUGUCUAGAGAAGACGAUGAUAGAGAUCUUAGAACCUUGGAUUGCCCUCUCAAAUGCGAUUGUUAAUUCUUCUCCCUUUUUUAGUUCUUCGUCGUCAAUAAAAGCAUUGAUUCCGGCCUUUGUUAAUGCUUCAUAGAGGUGGCCCGUGAAGUUUUUACGUGUGUCUUCGCCUCUAAAGCUUAUGAACACAUCGUAGAGCGAACCUUUUGAGAAGGAGGACGAGGACAAGGAGGCGGAGGAGGACAAUGAGGAUGAGGAUGAGAGCGAGGAGGUGAAGGAGGACGAUGAGGAUGAGGACGAGGAUGAGGAUCCGGGCAAGGAGGAGGACGAUGAGGCUUUAUCGGGGACUGAGACAUUCAUUUGGCGAAAGACGUGGCUAAAGGAGCAGAGGAGGAAGAUGACGAC
rnacentral:lncRNA from 1 species